AAGGCCUGAUGUGUGUGAGAUUACCCGCUGAAUUUAAGCAUAUAAGUAAGCGGAGGAAAAGAAACUAACUAGGAUUCCCUUAGUAAUGGCGAAUGAACAGGGAUCAGCUCAGUGCCAAAUCGGAAUCACUUGUGGUUCUGAAAUGUGGCUUGAAGGCAGUACCAGUGGCAUCGCGGACGAAAGUCUCUUGGAAAAGAGCGUCAUAGAGGGUGAGAAUCCCGUGAGUCGUUCGCCGUUUGUCACGUACGGUCUGCGUUCUAACGAGUCGCGUUCCUUGGGAUUGGAGCGUAAACGGGUGGUAAAUUUCAUCCAAAGCAAAAUAUAUACUCGAGACCGAUAGCACAAAAGUACCGUGAGGGAAAGGUGAAAAGAACUUUGAGAAGAGGGUUAAAUAGUGCCUGAAAUCGUUGAGAAGGAAGCGGAUGCCGCCGUUGCAUAUGCUGAUUGUAGGAUUGCUGCUCGCUCCUGUCUUCUGCUACUCAUUCACAGACCUGGUCGUGUUGAGCAGUUGUUUGGCAGAUGUUAGUGGUGUUUCCUACUCUCAGUCGUCAGCAUCACUGGCUGAGUGGAAAUAAUCCUUGGAUGCUAAUUGGUUCGCUAUCUGUGAAUUGGUUGCUUCCUUGCGAUACUCACUACUCG
rnacentral:ncRNA from 1 species